GGGCAAUCAGCUCCCAGGGGAGCCCCAAGCGUCAACUCCCAGGAUUCCGUGAGUCAGGAGCUUGGCCAGGCUCAGCUGGGACACUCAUCUUUGCUUCACCUCAUGUCAGCUGCAGCAUCUUAGGAAUGCAAGACAGCCUCAUUCACAUCCGGCGGCGGGUGCUGGCUGUCCACUGGGUGCCUUCGCUCUUUUUCAAGUGGUUUCUCAUCCUCUGGGGUUUCACUGUCUCCAUGUGGCCUCCCUAGCAAGUUGCUUAGAUUUCUUUACGUGGAAACUGGCUUUCUAGAGGGUAAAAAUGGAAGCUGCAAGGACUCUUAUGGCCCAGAAGUCCCAGAACGUCACUUCUUCCACAAGUCAUAGGGCCAGCCAAGAUUCAAGGGGAAGGAAACAGACUCUGUCUCUUCAUAUUUCAAUGGGACAAAUUGUUGCAGCCACCUUUGGAAACAAUCUACUGCAAUACACUACAGCAGUGGACAUCUGGGCCCUUACCAGGUGCCAGACGCCGUACUAACAGCUUUAUACGGAUGAACUCAUUUAAUCCUCCCAAACUCCAUGAGGUUUUGCAGCCCUUGCCAUGAGUGGCCAGUUGCUGAUAGCAUUGCUGCUGCCUGUUGCUAUUCUGGGAUAGGAACUGAGGAUGUGCUGUGAUUACCCAGACCAGAAGGAAGCUCAGAAGGCACUGGUCCUCUCAGGUGGCACCCAGAUCCAGUGUGAGCCAUGGGGGAUGAAGGGUGGUUAAGUGAAAAGCUUUGGAGUGCUGACAGGUGGUCCCCCUGAUAUGCCAGGAAAUUACUUCCGGGCAAGAGAAACAAAGGAGAGUCCAUCUUCUAAUGUUACUGGCGCCAUACCAACAAGGUGUCAGCUAGAAACCUCUCUCUCUCUCUUGCAAAUUCUAGCCUGCAAAACCUGAGGACUGGCCUCAGGCUAGUCAGAAAUUUGCCUGAAAACAUCAUUCCUUGGGGUGGUGGGACUUCUGGGUAAGCCAGUGUGACUUGAAUUCUUGAUUUCUUAUACUCCCUUCUAACCAACCACCUGAAUGCUGAUCUCUACUAGCUGUCUGUGUGCCUUGCAUUUCAAUCAGCAGCCUUACAAAUGAUGAUGAGGAGAAGGAGGAGGAUGAGGACGAUAGCCAACAUUUACUGUUCUUUUGCUACUGUCCUAAGUACUUUACAAAUACCAGAUAAUUUUUUCUUCAUAACACUGUCAUUACUCCCAUUUUACAGAUGAAGAAAACAAAGCUUAAAUAGAUCACAUGAUUUGGUCAAGGUCACUCAUGUCACAGAGCCUGAAUCCAAAUCCAGUGAAGCCUCCAGAGCCUAGUUUCUACCCAUGACCCUGUGUUGCCUAUUGAUGGUACAGUGUAGGUUUUUUCCUUCUUCCUUUUUCUUUUUUUGAAAGUCUUUAUUGAAUUAUAAUUGGCAUACCAUUAACUGCAAAUAUUUGAAAAAUACAAUUUUAUGAGCUCUGACAUACAUACACCCAUAAAACCAUUGUUACAAUCAAGAUAAUGAAUAUGUCCGUCAUUCCCCAAAAGCUUCCCUGUGCCCCUUGGUAAUCCACCCCUCACUCCCCACCCCAUUCUGUUCCUAGGCAACCAAUCAUCUGUUUUCUGUCAGAUUAAUUUGCAUUUUCUAGAGUUUUAUAUAUGGAAGCAGACAGCAUGUACUCUUUUUUUGUCUGGCUUCUUUCACUCAGCAUAAUUAUUUUUAGGUUCAUCUAUAUUGGUGCACGUAUCAACAAUUCAUUCUUUUCUAUUCCUGAGUACUAUUCCAUUAUAUAGGUGUACUAAAUUUGUUUAUUCAACUCUUGAUGGACAUUGAGUUGUUUACAGUUUUUGGC
ensembl:lncRNA EPCAM-DT EPCAM divergent transcript